rnacentral:rRNA from 1 species
CGGACGGGUGAGUAACACGUGGAUAACCUACCUAUAAGACUGGGAUAACUUCGGGAAACCGGAGCUAAUACCGGAUAAUAUAUUGAACCGCAUGGUUCAAUAGUGAAAGACGGUUUUGCUGUCACUUAUAGAUGGAUCCGCGCCGCAUUAGCUAGUUGGUAAGGUAACGGCUUACCAAGGCAACGAUGCGUAGCCGACCUGAGAGGGUGAUCGGCCACACUGGAACUGAGACGCGGUCCAG